rnacentral:rRNA from 1 species
GUGCCAGCAGCCGCGGUAAUACGUAGGCAGCGAGCGUUGUUCGGAGUUACUGGGCGUAAAGAGUGCGUAGGCGGUGUUCCAAGUCUGGUGUGAAAUCUCCCGGCUCAACUGGGAGGGUGCGCCGGAAACUGGGAUGCUGGAGUAUGGGAGAGGUAAGCGGAAUUCCUGGUGUAGCGGUGAAAUGCGUAGAUAUCAGGAGGAACACCUGCGGUGUAGACGGCUUACUGGACCAUGACUGACGCUGAGGCACGAAAGCGUGGGGAGCAAACAGGAUUAGAAACCCGGGUAGUCC